GGUUAAGUGACUAAGCGUACACGGUGGAUGCCUUGGCAGUCAGAGGCGAUGAAGGACGUAGUAACUUGCGAUAAGCUCAGAUUAGGCAGUAACAGCCACUUGAGUCUGAGAUUUCCGAAUGGGGAAACCCAACUGCAUAAGCAGUUACUGUUAACUGAAUACAUAGGUUAACAGGGCGAACCGGGGGAACUGAAACAUCUAAGUACCCCGAGGAGAAGAAAUCAACCGAGAUUCCGAUAGUAGCGGCGAGCGAAAUUGGAUUAGCCCUUAAGCUUUACAUGCGUCAGGUGAAGGUUCUGGAAAGGACCGCGAAACAGGGUGAUAGCCCCGUAGCCGACAGCGCAUGUUCAGUGAAAUCGAGUAGGGCGGGACACGUGUUAUCCUGUCUGAAUAUGGGGGGACCAUCCUCCAAGGCUAAAUACUCCUGACUGACCGAUAGUGAACCAGUACCGUGAGGGAAAGGCGAAAAGAACCCCUGUGAGGGGAGUGAAAUAGAACCUGAAACCGUGUACGUACAAGCAGUAGGAGCCUCCUUUGUGGGGUGACUGCGUACCUUUUGUAUAAUGGGUCAGCGACUUAUA
rnacentral:rRNA from 1 species